UAGGCAGCGCGCGGCCAACGCUAUAUGUAGAUAUCGCCGCUUACGCGGAGCAUUACUAACACACAAGUUAGAGAUUAAAUUAGUAUUGCAUGAAACUUUGUUUAUAUAUCGAUAAUGACGAUAUAUAUAUUAUGUCUUGACCAAUUACGUGCCAGCAGUCGCGGUAAUACGUAAGAGACUAGUGUUAUUCAUCUUAAUUAGGUUUAAAGGGUACUCAAACGGUCUGUUUUGCACAAAAGACUAGAGUUAUAUAGAAGAAGGUAGUACCUUAAGUGUAGAGAUAAAAUUUUGUUAUACUGGAGGGACUUAGAAAAGGCGUAGGCAACCUUCUAAGUAAUAACUGACGUUGAAGGACGAAGGCAUAGGUCACGAACAGGACUAGUAACCCAAGUAGUCUUUGCAGUCAAUGAUGAAUGCCAUAGGUUAGAUAAAAAUUUAGUCUAUAAAUGAAAAUGUAAGCAUUUCACCUCAAGAGUAAUGUGGCAACGCAGGAACUGAAAUCACUAGACCGUUUCUGACACCAGUAGUGAAGUAUGUUAUUUAAUUC
rnacentral:rRNA from 1 species